CUAACAGGCGGCACUAGCCGCAUGCAUAUUAAUAUUGGAGCUGGAUACAAUGGCAUUAGCUGUAGAGAAAAAAGCAGAGAUCGUUAAAGACUUCGCCCGCGCUGAA
rfam:Marinobacterium sp. ST58-10, complete genome.